CUAUCGCCAUGGCAAGCUGCCUUACCGCUCGCUCCGGUUCCAGCAUGUCAGCCUGGACGUCGACCGGUUCCAGCCGGUGGCGGUGGU
rnacentral:tRNA from 1 species